GUCUACAGCCAUACCACGCUGAACGCUCCUGAUCUCAUCUGAUCUCAGAAGCUAAGCAGGGUCAAGCCCGGUUAGUACUUGAUGGGAGGGUUAGCCCAGGGAUACAAAACU
rnacentral:rRNA from 1 species